rfam:Ascaris lumbricoides genome assembly, scaffold: ALTE_scaffold0000706
GUGUGCUCAAUAAGGCACUGGAUUGGUCAGUUGAGUUUUCUUAGCGAAACUGGCCAUUCCAUUGUCUGGCCGAG